rnacentral:rRNA from 1 species
AUUGAACGCUGGCGGCAUGCUUUACACAUGCAAGUCGAACGGCAGCACAGGGAGCUUGCUCCCGGGUGGCGAGUGGCGCACGGGUGAGUAAUACAUCGGAACGUGUCCUGUUGUGGGGGAUAACUGCUCGAAAGGGUGGCUAAUACCGCAUGAGACCUGAGGGUGAAAGCGGGGGAUCGCAAGACCUCGCGCAAUUGGAGCGGCCGAUGCCCGAUUAGCUAGUUGGUGAGGUAAAGGCUCACCAAGGCGACGAUCGGUAGCUGGUCUGAGAGGACGACCAGCCACACUGGGACUGAGACACGGCCCAGACUCCUACGGGAGGCAGCAGUGGGGAAUUUUGGACAAUGGGGGGCAACCCUGAUCCAGCCAUGCCGCGUGCAGGAUGAAGGCCUUCGGGUUGUAAACUGCUUUUGUCAGGGACGAAAAGGACCGUGUUAAUACCAUGGUCUGCUGACGGUACCUGAAGAAUAAGCACCGGCUAACUACGUG